rnacentral:rRNA from 1 species
UACGUAGGGACCGAGCGUUGUUCGGAGUUACUGGGCGUAAAGAGUGCGUAGGCGGUGCUCCAAGUCUGGUGUGAAAUCUCCCGGCUUAACCGGGAGGGUGCGCCGGAAACUGGGGUGCUGGAGUGUGGGAGAGGUAAGCGGAAUUCCCGGUGUAGCGGUGAAAUGCGUAGAUAUCGGGGAGGAACACCUGCGGUGUAGACGGCUUACUGGACCAUAACUGACGCUGAGGCACGAAAGCGUGGGUAGCAAACAGG